rnacentral:lncRNA from 1 species
CUAAAAUGGACACUAGCAUCUCUAGAUAAAGGAGAGGCUGGAGUGCCACACUUUUACUGCACACCCAACCAUUAAAACAACAGCCAACCAACUGUUGAGGAUUGAAACUUGUUCCACAAUUCAGGGAACACAUGUGAAAAUAGGAUCUGGACCUCUCUGUCCUCUCGUCUCUGGACACUCUGGGUGGACCAUCUCUGGAAGAUCCUGUCCCAGCUGCAGAAUGGCAUGAGCUGUCCAUAUCUACAGAAAGAAACACUGGAGGCAAUAGAAUAUCCUGUCAAAGGCCAUUCUGCCCUUGACAAUGAUGUGAAGAUUCCGCUGUCUCCACAUGAACACACCCAGCAUGCCCCAACAUUGUGCUAUUGUCACUAUGGGGGCAAGAAGGAGAAGAGGACUAUGCAAGUAGGAUGCUGGAUGUCAAGAUAAUAAUAAUGAUUGAGUCACCCUCUAGUGAUGACGAUGAAGCUCAGGCUCUACACUUCAGUGUGAGAGCUCAGUGUUGUUUCUGGAACCGUGUCCACACCAACACCCAGAAAUCCACAGGUUUUGGAUGGUGGAUGCUUCUGACCCAACGGGGAGAGUGGGCAGGUCGCUCCAGGGCAGCUCAUAGUGUUCCAAAUUCCUGCAAGGCUUGAGCACUUAAGUCCCUGCAGAUUUCUCAACCUGCCUGAACUCUCUGCUAAUCCAGUGUUCCAGUACUCUCCUACGGUGAGGCGAGAGAAGACCAGAGAUGUUUGCAACUCUGAUCCAGUCUAACUGAACUUCCAGUGCUCAAACACAGAGAGUGGACAGAGAUUUUCGAGGCCUCUCCAUGAAUGCUGUCCAGAAUCAAGCUAUGGGGGAGUUCAGUGUGGGAGACGUGCAGGACCUUGGAUGGAGUCUGGGAUCUAGAGAAUGAAAUGUAUCUUCAUUAGGGCCAGAAGACACAUGAGGAGUGGCCUAGUAGAUACAGAAGACACAGUGUCAUGAUGUGGAGUCCAAGGCCAAGGGAGGUUACUGAGAAAUCCAAUGCCUGUAUGAGUGAAGCUGGACAUGAACAGUGUGGAUGGACGUGGUCCCUUUCACUUCAAGCUGCAGUGUUAUCACCAGCUGCUGCAGAAGCCCAUGUCCCAGUAGACUAUCCUCUGACAAGAAUAUUAUGCCUUUUAAGCUCAUAUGAUGAUUUCUCUGUCUCCAUAUAGGAGACCAGGCCAUAAAAGGUGCUACUGUCACUGAGGAGACCGUAAUGAGAGGACUGUGACAGUGGGAGGCGUCAUGCAAAAGUGAUGUGAGGCUCAGAUGCAUCUGGAAGCUUUAUGGUGCAACCCCUUCUUCCCUAUUCAGACCUUCAUUCUAUG